rnacentral:rRNA from 1 species
CAAUAGCGUAUAUUAAAGUUGUUGCAGUUAAAAAGCUCGUAGUUGGAUUUCUGGUUGAAGCGACCGGUCGGGCGUUGAUUCGUCUGCACUGGAGUCGGUUUUGGCCAUCCUCUAGGAAAGUGCGUCUGGUAUUAAGUUAUCGGGCGUAUGAUCCUGGUCUUUUACUGUGAAAAAAUUAGAGUGUUUAAAGCAGGCCUUCGCCUUGAAUACAUUAGCAUGGAAUAAUAAGAUAGGACUUUGGUCUAUUUUGUUGGUUUGCAGACCGAAGUAAUGAUUAAUAGGGAUAGUUGGGGGUAUUUAUAUUCCGAUGUCAGAGGUGAAAUUCUUAGAUUUUCGGAAGAUAAACUUAUGCGAAAGCAUUUACCAGGGAUGUUUNCAUUA